rnacentral:rRNA from 1 species
UUGAACGCUGGCGGCAGGCCUAACACAUGCAAGUCGAGCGGAUGAAGGGAGCUUGCUCCUGGAUUCAGCGGCGGACGGGUGAGUAAUGCCUAGGAAUCUGCCUGGUAGUGGGGGAUAACGUCCGGAAACGGGCGCUAAUACCGCAUACGUCCUGAGGGAGAAAGUGGGGGAUCUUCGGACCUCACGCUAUCAGAUGAGCCUAGGUCGGAUUAGCUAGUUGGUGGGGUAAAGGCCUACCAAGGCGACGAUCCGUAACUGGUCUGAGAGGAUGAUCAGUCACCCGGGAACUGGGACACGGUCCGGACCCCUAGGGGAGGCAGAGGGGGGGAAUAUUGGACAAGGGGCGAAAGCCUGUACCAGCCAGGCCGGGGGUGUGAAGAAGGUCUUCGGAUUGUAAAGCCUUUUAAGUUGGGAGGAAGGGGAGUAAGUUAAAACCUGGUUGUUUGGACGUUACCAAAAGAAAAAGCACCGGCAAACUUCGU